rnacentral:rRNA from 1 species
UGAAUACAAGAUGCUACGGCAUCGAAGCAGUCUAUGUCAGACUUCCAAGAAAAGCUUGCACUGUCAAAAACAAAGAAUGCCUGUACCAUAACCGACACAGGUGGGUAGGUAGAGUAUACUAAGGGGCGCGAGAUAACUCUCUCUAAGGAACUCGGCAAAAUGACUCCGUAACUUCGGGAGAAGGAGUGCCUUAUUUAUAAGGUUGCAAUAACAAGAUCCAAGCAACUGUUUAUCAAAAACACAGGUCUCCGCUAAGUCGUAAGACGAUGUAUGGGGGCUGACGCCUGCCCAGUGCCAGAAGGUUAAAGAAGUUGGUUAGUGUAUGCGAAGCUGAUGACUGAAGCCCUGGUGAACGGCGGCCGUAACCAUAACGGUCCUAAGGUAGCGAAAUUCCUUGUCGGGUAAGUUCCGACCCGCACGAAAGGCGUAAUGAUUUGGAUACUGUCUCGGAGAGAGGCUCGGUGAAAUAGACUUGUCUGUGAAGAUGCGGACUACCUGCACCAGGACAGAAAGACCCUAUGAAGCUUUACUGUAACUUGAAAUUGGAAUUGGACUUUGCUUGCGCAGUAUAGGUGGGAAGCGUUGAAAAUAUUCUUGCGGGAGUAUUGGAGCUAUCAGUGAGAUACCACUCUUGUAAUGUUAGAUUUCUAACUUUGAACCAUAAUCUGGUCAAAGAACAGUUUCAGGUGGGCAGUUUGACUGGGGCGGUCGCCUCCCAAAUGGUAACGGAGGCGUACAAAGGUUUCCUCUGAACGGAUAGAAAUCGUAUCUAGAGUGUAAAGGCAUAAGGAAGCUUGACUGUGAGACCUACAAGUCGAGCAGGGACGAAAGUCGGUCUUAGUGAUCUGACGGUACUGAGUGGAAAGGCCGUCACUCAACGGAUAAAAGUUACUCUAGGAUAACAGGCUGAUCUCCCCCAAGAGUUCACAUCGACGGGGAGGUUUGGCACCUCGAUGUCGGCUCAUCGCAUCCUGGGGCGGUAGUACGUCCCAAGGGUUGGGCUGUUCGCCCAUGAAAGCGGUACGCGAGCUGGGUUCAGAACGUCGUGAGACAGUUCGGUCCAUAUCCGGUGUAGGCGCUAGAAUAUUGAGAGGAGCCUUCUUUAGUACGAGAGGACCGAGAAGGACACACCGCUGGUGUACCAGUUAUCGUGCCAACGGUAAACGCUGGGUAGCUAUGUGUGGAGUGGAUAACCGCUGAAAGCAUCUAAGUGGGAAGCCCACCUCGAGAUGAGUAUUC